GAUGAAGAACGCAGCGAAAUGCGAUAAGUAAUGCGAAUUGCAGAAUUCAGUGAGUCAUCGAAUCUUUGAACGCACAUUGCGCCCUGUGGUAUUCCGCAGGGCAUGCCUGUUCGAGCGUCAUUUCAACCCUCAAGCUCUGCUUGGUGUUGGGCCCUGCCCGCUGCGGCCGGCUCUAAAGACAGUGGCGGUGCCGCCUGGCCCUGAGCGUAGUACAUCUCUCGCUCCAGUGCCCGGUGGUAGCCUGCCAGAACCCCAACUCUCGUGGUUGACCUCGGAUCAGGUAGGGAUACCCGCUGAACUUAAGCAUAUCAAUAAGCGGAGGA
rnacentral:misc_RNA from 1 species